rnacentral:rRNA from 1 species
GAUCCUGGCUCAGGAUAAACGCUGGCGGCGCACAUAAGACAUGCAAGUCGAACGGAAGUCGUUAUAAAAAGGAUUGAAGAUUUAUCUGAUUGAGAUUUUAUAACAAUGGCUUUAGUGGCGGGACUGGUGAGUAACGCGUGGAGCAACCUGCCUACUAGAGGGGAAUAACAGUGAGAAAUCAUUGCUAAUACCGCAUAUGCCAUGAACAUCACAUGAUGAAAAUGGAAAAG